GACGUAGGGCGCGAGCGUUGUCCGGAAUUACUGGGCGUAAAGAGCUCGUAGGUGGUUUGUCGCGUUGUUCGUGAAAACUCACAGCUCAACUGUGGGCGUGCGGGCGAUACGGGCAGACUAGAGUACUGCAGGGGAGACUGGAAUUCCUGGUGUAGCGGUGGAAUGCGUAGAGAUCCGGAAGAACACCGGUGGCGAAGGCGGUCUGCUGGGCAGUUGCUGACACUGAGGCGCGACAGCGUGGGGAGCAAACAGG
rnacentral:rRNA from 1 species